CCUACGGGUGGCAGCAGUGGGGAAUAUUGGACAAUGGGCGAAAGCCUGAUCCAGCCAUGCCGCGUGUGUGAAGAAGGCCUUCGGGUUGUAAAGCACUUUCAGUGGGGAAGAAAGCCUUGGGGCUAAUACCCUCGAGGAAGGACAUCACCCACAGAAGAAGCACCGGCUAACUCCGUGCCAGCAUCCGCGGUAAUACGGAGGGUGCGAGCGUUAAUCGGAAUUACUGGGCGUAAAGCGCGCGUAGGCGGUCUGAUAAGCCGGUUGUGAAAGCCCCGGGCUCAACCUGGGAACGGCAUCCGGAACUGUCAGGCUAGAGUGCAGGAGAGGAAGGUAGAAUUCCCGGUGUAGCGGUGAAAUGCGUAGAGAUCGGGAGGAAUACCAGUGGCGAAGGCGGCCUUCUGGACUGACACUGACGCUGAGGUGCGAAAGCGUGGGUAGCAAACAGGAUUAGAUACCCUGGUAGUC
rnacentral:rRNA from 1 species